GAAUGAAGAACGCAGCGAAAUGCGAUACGUAGUGUGAAUUGCAGAAUUCCGUGAACCAUCGAAUCUUUGAACGCAGAUUGCGCUCGAGGCUUCGGCCGAGAGCAUGCCUGCCUCAGCGUCGGUUAUCACUCUCCAACACCCCCUCUCGGGUGCUGGGUCUUGGCUCUCUCUCGAUCCCUGGGUCGAGGGUUGGCUGAAAACGAUUGGGCAACCGGUUUUCCGGUCGGUUCAACUCGGUAGAUGGUCCCUCCCAUUCAGUUGGGAGACUGCAUGCCGUUGAAGCCUCGGAUUGCCUCCAAAGGUGCCUUCAGCAGGACAACACAUUGAAACCUUCGACCUGAGUUCAGGCAAGAACACCCGCUGAACUUAAGCAUAUCAAUAAGCGGAGGA
rnacentral:misc_RNA from 1 species